rnacentral:rRNA from 1 species
AAGGAAUAUUGGUCAAUGCCCGGAAGGGUGAACCAGCCAUCCCGCGUGAAGGAUGAAGGGGCUCUGCCUUGUAAACUUCUUUUGUAUGGGGCGAAAAAAGGGGAUUUAUCCUCGACUGACGGUACCAUAAGAAUAAGCACCGGCUAACUCCGUGCCAGCAGCCGCGGUAAUACGGAGGGUGCGAACGUUAUCCGGAAUCACUGGGUUUAAAGGGUGCGUAGGCUGUUUAAUAAGUCAGUGGUGAAAGGCCGUCGCUUAACGAUGGGACUGCCAUUGAUACUGUUAGACUUGAAUCAGGUUGAGGUUGGCGGAAUGUGGCAUGUAGCGGUGAAAUGCAUAGAUAUGCCAUGGAAUACCGAUUGCGAAGGCAGCUGACUGGACCUUGAUUGACGCUGAGGCACGAAAGCGUGGGUAGCGAAC